UCUCCGUUGGUGAACCAGCGGAGGGGUCAUUACCGAGUUAUCAACUCCCAAACCCCUGUGAACAUACCCAACGUUGCUUCGGCGGGACCGCCCCGGCGCCCUCGGCGUCCCGGAACCAGGCGCCCGCCGGAGGACCCAAACUCUUGUCUAAACCAUAGUGGCAUAUUCUGAGUCUCACAAGAAAAAUGAAUCAAAACUUUCAACAACGGAUCUCUUGGCUCUG
rnacentral:misc_RNA from 1 species